UACGUAGGGUCCGAGCGUUGUCCGGAAUUAUUGGGCGUAAAGGGCUCGUAGGCGGUUUGUCGCGUCGGGAGUGAAAACACCGGGCUUAACUCGGUGCUUGCUUUCGAUACGGGCAGACUAGAGGCAUGCAGGGGAGAACGGAAUUCCUGGUGUAGCGGUGAAAUGCGCAGAUAUCAGGAGGAACACCGGUGGCGAAGGCGGUUCUCUGGGCAUGUCCUGACGCUGAGGAGCGAAAGUGUGGGGAGCGAACAGGAUUAGAAACCCCUGUAGUCC
rnacentral:rRNA from 1 species